rnacentral:rRNA from 1 species
AGAGUUUGAUCCUGGCUCAGGAUGAACGCUGGCGGCGUGCCUAAUACAUGCAAGUCGAGCGAACAGAUAAGGAGCUUGCUCCUUUGACGUUAGCGGCGGACGGGUGAGUAACACGUGGGUAACCUACCUAUAAGACUGGAAUAACUCCGGGAAACCGGGGCUAAUGCCGGAUAAUAUUUAGAACCGCAUGGUUCUAAAGUGAAAGAUGGUUUUGCUAUCACUUAUAGAUGGACCCGCGCCGUAUUAGCUAGUUGGUGGGGUAAUGGCUUACCAAGGCAACGAUACGUAGCCGACCUGAGAGGGUGAUCGGCCACACUGGAACUGAGACACGGUCCAGACUCCUACGGGAGGCAGCAGUAGGGAAUCUUCCGCAAUGGGCGAAAGCCUGACGGAGCAACGCCGCGUGAGUGAUGAAGGUCUUCGGAUCGUAAAACUCUGUUAUUAGGGAAGAACAAAUGCGUAAGUAACUGUGCACGUCUUGACGGUACCUAAUCAGAAAGCCACGGCUAACUACGUG